rnacentral:rRNA from 1 species
CGUAGGGCGCGAGCGUUGUCCGGAUUUAUUGGGCGUAAAGAGCUCGUAGGCGGCUAAUUGCGUCAACCGUGAAAACCAGCAGCUCAACUGUUGGCUUGCGGUUGAUACGGGUGGGCUGGAGUUCGGUAGGGGAGACUGGAAUUCCUGGUGUAGCGGUGAAAUGCGCAGAUAUCAGGAGGAACACCGGUGGCGAAGGCGGGUCUCUGGGCCGAUACUGACGCUGAGGAGCGAAAGCGUGGGGAGCGAACAGG